GCCCGACUGGCUCAGCAGGUAGAGCAUGUGACUCUUGAUCUCAGGGCUAUGAGUUCAAGCCCCACGUUGGGGG
rnacentral:tRNA from 1 species